ensembl:lncRNA novel transcript
AGAACUUAGUCUAGUAUUAAGUCUUAACACUCAGAAAACUGCUUUGCAUUGUGUGAGGCUAAAUAGAUGUGAAUUUCCUACAGACGCACACACAUCCUACAACAAGCGUGAUCCUUGUACUUGUAUGAAAAAAGUUAACUGUGAAACAGCCUCAGGCAGGUCCUCCAGGCAGUAUCCAGAGGAAGGCAUUGCUAUCACAGAGAUGACAGCUCCAUGCCUGUUAUUGCCCCUGAAGACUUUCCAGUGGGACAGGAUGUGGUGGUGGAAGACAGUGAUAUUGAUGAUCCUGACCCUGUGUUGGCCUAUGAUAAUGGAUCUCAAUAUGUUGGCCAAGCUGGUCUCGAAAUCCUAGCCUCAAGCAAUCCUCUAGCCUCGGCCUCCAAAAGCGGUGGAAUUACAGGCAUGGGACACCAUGCCUUGCCUUUACCUUUUCUACAUUUAGAUAUGUUUGGACACAAAAAUGCCCCUGGGUUACAAUGGCCUACUGUAUUCAGUACAGUAACAUGCUGUGCAGGUUUGUGGCAUAGGAGCAAUAGGUUAUACUACAGCUAUAGGCUAUAGGCCUAGGUGUGUAGUGUGGCUUUGCCAUUUGGGUUUGUGUAAGUGCAUUCUAUGAUGUUUGCACAAUAACCACAAAAUCACUAAAUGAUGCAUUUCGGAGACUGUAUCCCCACCAUUGAGUGAUGCAUGACUUUGUGUGUGUGUGUGCGUGUGUGUGUAUAUGUGUAUAUAUCUCACUUAUUAGGCAUAAAAAUGUUACAAAUUUAGAUGCUAUAGAUAACAGUAUAUCUGAUACUGUAUAUUACUACAGAUGCUGUGGGGAUUAGAAAGAUAAGAAUGUCAUGACCAACUUUUUAUACCACUAAAUAUGAAAAUAGGUGUAAUAUACAAAUUCCUAGAGAAAUAUGUUACCAAAUCCGACUAAUAUAUGAAUGCAAUUUACCACAUUAAGAAAUAAAGAAAGCAAAGUUUUAUGAUCAUCUUAUAAGCUUCAGAAAAAUCACUGGUCACAUUCAACAAUCAUUCAGUAUACAAACUUACAGCAAAUUAGAAAUGGAAAAGAACUUUCAAAACCUGAUGAAUGACAUCUACAGAAACCUACAGCAAUAUCAUACUCAGUGAUAAGAUUUUAAAAUGAGGAACAAGCUGAGGAUAGCCACCAUCACUACUUCUAAUAGACAUUAUUCUGAAACUUUUAUUUAUUGUCAUAAGACAAGAAGGCAGAAAUAAAGCCAUGGAGAAGAAAAGAAA